rnacentral:rRNA from 1 species
AUGCAGCUGGACGAUGCGUGUUGCAGGAUCACAGAUAGUGCAGGCGGUGGUAAUCUGCUUCUACUUUCUGAAUGGAGCUGGGAGCGUCUGCCUGUUGGACGCCCGAAGAGCGUCAGAUUUAAUCCUUGGUAUGAAGAUGAACAUGACGAAUUACGGCGCCCCACUUGGGCUUACAAGUGGGAUGUGGUUUCCAAGAUGACGAACGAUGUCAAUCUCAUGUACCAAAAGUACAUUGCCGAGUUGGACACGAUUACGCUUGAGCAGGUAAGAAGGUCAUUACUUCAGUCCUUUCUCAUGCUUGCUUGA